GGAUUGUGGCUCAGUGGUAGAGCGCUCCCCUAGGACAGGCAGGACCUGGGUUCGAUCCUCAGCACCA
rnacentral:tRNA from 1 species